CAAAGGCGAUCUCCACCGUUGCCCCAUUCCCGGCCACGGCACCACGGAAAUUGUCACCGGUUCGCCCUCUAACGU
rnacentral:sRNA from 1 species